AAACAGAUGCUAAUACCGCAUAACAACUUGGACCGCAUGGUCCGAGUUUGAAAGAUGGCUUCGGCUAUCACUUUUGGAUGGUCCCGCGGCGUAUUAGCUAGAUGGUGAGGUAACGGCUCACCAUGGCAAUGAUACGUAGCCGACCUGAGAGGGUAAUCGGCCACAUUGGGACUGAGACACGGCCCAAACUCCUACGGGAGGCAGCAGUAGGGAAUCUUCCACAAUGGACGAAAGUCUGAUGGAGCAACGCCGCGUGAGUGAAGAAGGGUUUCGGCUCGUAAAACUCUGUUGUUAAAGAAGAACAUAUCUGAGAGUAACUGUUCAGGUAUUGACGGUAUUUAACCAGAAAGCCACGGCUAACUACGUGCCAGCAGCCGCGGUAAUACGUAGGUGGCAAGCGUUGUCCGGAUUUAUUGGGCGUAAAGCGAGCGCAGGCGGUUUUUUAAGUCUGAUGUGAAAGCCUUCGGCUCAACCGAAGAAGUGCAUCGGAAACUGGGAAACUUGAGUGCAGAAGAGGACAGUGGAACUCCAUGUGUAGCGGUGAAAUGCGUAGAUAUAUGGAAGAACACCAGUGGCGAAGGCGGCUGUCUGGUCUGUAACUGACGCUGAGGCUCGAAAGUAUGGGUAGCAAACAGGAUUAGAUACCCUGGUAGUCCAUACCGUAAACGAUGAAUGCUAAGUGUUGGAGGGUUUCCGCCCUUCAGUGCUGCAGCUAACGCAUUAAGCAUUCCGCCUGGGGAGUACGGCCGCAAGGCUGAAACUCAAAGGAAUUGACGGGGGCCCGCACAAGCGGUGGAGCAUGUGGUUUAAUUCGAAGCUACGCGAAGAACCUUACCAGGUCUUGACAUACUAUGCAAAUCUAAGAGAUUAGACGUUCCCUUCGGGGACAUGGAUACAGGUGGUGCAUGGUUGUCGUCAGCUCGUGUCGUGAGAUGUUGGGUUAAGUCCCGCAACGAGCGCAACCCUUAUUAUCAGUUGCCAGCAUUAAGUUGGGCACUCUGGUGAGACUGCCGGUGACAAACCGGAGGAAGGUGGGGAUGACGUCAAAUCAUCAUGCCCCUUAUGACCUGGGCUACACACGUGCUACAAUGGAUGGUACAACGAGUUGCGAACUCGCGAGAGUAAGCUAAUCUCUUAAAGCCAUUCUCAGUUCGGAUUGUAGGCUGCAACUCGCCUACAUGAAGUCGGAAUCGCUAGUAAUCGCGGAUCAGCAUGCCGCGGUGAAUACGUUCCCGGGCCUUGUACACACCGCCCGUCACACCAUGAGAGUUUGUAACACCCAAAGUCGGUGGGGUAACCUUUUAGGAACCAGCCGCCUAAGGUGGGACAGAUGAUUAGGGUG
rnacentral:rRNA from 1 species